rnacentral:tRNA from 1 species
CUCAGUGUGGUGUAGUGGUUUGAGCAUUGGACUGUGACUCUGAAGACCAGGGUUCAAAUCCCCGCUCAGCUA